GUUAUUAAGAUAGCAGCCAAAUUUAUUCAAUUUUUCCUAUAUGUUUAAUUUUUAGCCCUUUUUUAGUUUUUCUACUCAAUUAGUGUCAUUUUUAGCCAAAAUUGAUAUCAAUUUUGACCUCAAAUUAAAUUCUAAUUUUUUUACCUAUUUUUAGAUUACCAUUACAUUAUUCUCAUCUGUUGAUUAAGAUUAAUCCAACGGAUGAGAUGAAGUCACCUUUUCUUUUCUUCUUAAACAAAAAAAACAAUCUUAAUUCCCAUUUUGCAAAACAGUCGCACCCACUCUAUUUUCUUUCUUUCUUUCUGUCUAAACUUAAUUUCGAUUAUCUCUCUUACCUUCGCCAUCACCAGCUACGCCCUUUAUUACCUCACUCCCUCUUUGUCUCUUCUCUCUCAACAACCUCUCUCUCGUUUCUCUCUUUGCCAUUAUUGUUUUGCCAGAGCUGGUGAGCGAUGAUAGCCCUAAAUGCUCCACCACCAGCGAGCCAUCUCCAUCAUGCUCCAACAUUCACUAACCACCGAUGGACCAAUAGUGCCGCCUUCCACCAGCAAAACAACCAACCACCAGAGCCAUCAUAAACAACCCAUGCUGCCACUAUCUUUCUUCUACACCCAUCGCUAUAACUGCAACCUCCAUAAAUCUAAUCAAUUGUCGCUACUCCACCAUCUUCAAGAAGGAAAUCGCUCUAGUUUCCACCACUGACCCAUUUUGCUACGUGAAAGCCAUGAUGGAUUCUCAAAAUUUAUCCCAGGUUUAUCUCAUUGUUUAGAUUUCCUAUUAUUAUCUUCUUCCUCUACUCCUCUUUUGAUAGAUUUCUUAGAUUUGAAAUAGUUGAAAUUUAGCUUUGAAUUUUGAAGCACUUCUUAUUAUUUUGUGCUCGUUUAUGUGUUUAGAUCAACAUAUGUUAAAACACAUAAUUUUUAUUACUUAAAUUCUAUAAGUUUGGGUGCUAAUUAUUUGGUUGAUUUAUGACGAAUGUCAUGUGUUAAUUGGUGAAAUAUAAUUCUUGAUCAUCCCUCUAAAAUUAUUUCGUGGAUUUGACAAUGUGAGGGUCCUAUUUUUUAUCUGAAUGUCUUAGCUGGAUAGGACUUGGAAUGCAUGUUAUACGAAAAUUACGUGGUAGACUUACUUUGGGUUAAUAACAAGAUUUUUUUCCCAUUGUUUAAAAUGAGCAGAAUCUUUGGUAUGAUUAUUUAUUUUGAACAGCCUUGGUACUUGAGUAAUUAUGAUAAAUAUAUGAUUUGUGUAUGAUUGAGAAUAUAUGAAUUAGUUAAUUGGCUCAAUUUAAAUUUUGAAUAAAUUGAUAUCCUCAUUGUUGCCUAUUUAUGGUAAAAUUUACUUCCCCUUAAUUGAUUAUGAAUAUUUUUGUUUUCUUUAAUUCUUUACUACUCUCCACUCUGUAAACAUCCUCUUUUUCUCAUUAACGAACAUCUUCUCCUCGGUUGUUAAUCUCUCAAAAGAAUCUCUCGCUAUCUAUUUUCUCCAUCCAAAAGUUUAAAAAUACUUUAAAGUUCUUUGACAUUUUAAAUUUUGAAGGAAACAUUCGGUUCCAUCUUAUUACUUCAAUUAUUUUGAUUAAGGUUUCUUAUUAUUAUUUUCGUUGCUUAUUGGUAAGUUUCUAUCAAUGUAAUUUUUAUAUUUAUGUGGUGGCUUUAUGGUGUUGUGGAACCUUUAGAAAACAUACCUAUAGGAACUAUUCAGUGUUUGUGUUUCAUUGUUUUUGUAUUUGGGCCCUGUUCGACUUUGUCUUUGAUGCUUGUUUCACUAUUUUGUUUAUCUGACAGGUAUUAUUGAAAGAUAUUUUGGAACGUGAAGAGUUUUUCGGGAGUUUGGAGAAGGAUAGCCUAUUUCUUCUUAGUUUAAUUUUUUUUAAUUAUUCAUUGAUUUGUAACAUUUUUGUAUAAACUGCUACUGCAUAAUAAUAAAUUCAUAAGAGGCG
rnacentral:lncRNA from 1 species